CCUACGGGUGGCAGCAGUAGGGAAUCUUCCACAAUGGGCGAAAGCCUGAUGGAGCAACGCCGCGUGGGUGAAGAAGGUCCUCGGAGCGUAAAACCCUGUUGUUAGAGAAGAAAGUGCGUGAGAGUAACUGUUCACGUUUCGACGGUAUAUAACCAGAAAGCAACGGCUAACUACGGGCCAGCAGCCGCGGUAAUACGUAGGUGGCAAGCGUUAUCAGGAUUUAUUGGGCGUAAAGGGAACGCAGGCGGUCUUUUAAGUCUGAUGUGAAGGCCUUCGGCUUAACCGGAGUAGUGCAUUGGAAACUGGGAGACUUGAGUGCAGGAGAGGAGAGUGGAACUCCAUGUGUAGCGGUGAAAGGCGUAGAUAUAUGGAAGAACACCAGUGGCGAAAGCGGCUCUCUGGUCUGUAACUGACGCUGAGGUUCGAAAGCGUGGGUAGCAAACAGGAUUAGAUACCCCUGUAGUC
rnacentral:rRNA from 1 species